GAUUGUUGGGUUAAGUCCCGCAACGAGCGCAACCCUUGUCAUUAGUUGCCAUCAUUUGGUUGGGCACUCUAAUGAGACUGCCGGUGACAAACCGGAGGAAGGUGGGGAUGACGUCAAGUCCUCAUGGCCCUUAUGGGUAGGGCUUCACACGUCAUACAAUGGUCGGUACAGAGGGUUGCCAACCCGCGAGGGGGAGCUAAUCCCACAAAGCCGAUCGUAGUCCGGAUCGCAGUCUGCAACUCGACUGCGUGAAGUCGGAAUCGCUAGUAAUCGUGGAUCAGCAUGUCACGGUGAAUACGUUCCCGGGUCUU
rnacentral:rRNA from 1 species